GUGGACCUCGGAUCGGGUAGGGAUACCC
rnacentral:rRNA from 1 species